CAGCACCCUCCUACACUGAGGCGUGACUUUUAGAGGCAGUCGCCACUGUCCACCCUUGCCAACUUCCAUUAGACCAUCUGCCCAUGUCCAUGGGGAGACAGGGAACCCAGUGGGACUGGUAAGGACGUGGUCCAGAAGGUGCCACAUCAGUGCCCAAAACAUGGAUGCUGCAGAUUGAAAGAGUGUGGGGCACUCAGCCACUGAGCCACAUCCCCAGCCCUAUUUUGUAUUUUAUUUAGAAACAGGAUAUCACUGAGUUGCUUAGCGACUCACUAUUGCUGAGGUUGGCUUUGAAUUCACGAUCCUCCUGCCUCAGCCUCCCAAGCUGCUGGGAUUAUAGGUAUGCAUUUUUAUUUAUUCUGAUGUAUUUAGCCUUAUCUUGGUCUAAUGCUCUCUCCUUUUAGGCUUCUCUCUCUCUCUCUCUCUCUCUCUCUCUCUCUCUCUCUCUCUCUCUCUCUCUCUUUCCUUCCUUCCUUUCACCUUCUAUGAUAUGCCCAAGGAUUUGUCCCAUCUUCUCCUGCUGUUCAAUGACAACAAGGCUGUUGUUUUCAUUUUGCCAACACCCUCAAGAAUUUCAAAAACUUUCUUGAAUCCAUAUUUCUUCCACUAUCGAUUCAAAAUAAAUCUUCAAUUUUGCCUCUCUUGCAAUAUAAGGUGAGAUGUUUUUCAGCCCCUACUUCCAUGUCUCUUGAAGCCCAGGUUAUGGGUCUCUCUUUUUUAAAACUGUACAGUCUUCCUUCUUCAAAAAUUGGUUUUGAACUUGGUCUCCACAUUUUUACCUUGUUUAUAUUAUUUAUACUGAAGUCUCUGUAUUUAAGUGGUUUCCAUGUGUACUGCAUGCUCCAGUUACUAUGGCUGCACAACAAAUUAUCUCAGAACUUAAUGGCUUAAAACAAUAAUCAUUUAUUAGCUCUUGCUGUUUCUGUGCACUGAAAUUUAGACAGGGCAUAGCGGGGAUGGUUUGUCUCUCCUCCAUAGUGUCUGAGAUCUUAGCAGGAAGAUGCAAAAGUCUAGUUCCUGGCUUGGCUUGGCUAGAAUCAUUAGAAGUCUUGUUUACCUGGGGUUGUUUUAGCUGUCACCCAGCUUGGGGCCUGGCUGGAGCUAUUGACCAGAGCACUCAUGUGGGGUCUCUUGGGUAUCCUAGCCUGCUCAUAAUAUAGUGACUGAGUUCCCCCACUGAGUGUCCAGAGAGAGUAAGCCAUGCAGAAGCCAUGUUGCCCGUUGGAACUUAACGCCAAGAAACAUUUAGCAUCCCUCUGCCUCAUCCUGUUGGUUGGGCAGGUACAAAGUUCUGCCCAAGUUCAAUGGAAGUGUGUCAACAUCACUUUGUAAGAAGAGUGUGUGGAAUGCCCACAGGUGUGCACACGUGAACAUACAUACAUUUGUAUUUUGGUGUGUUUAUCUUUGUAAAAAGACCAUUGGUCACACUAUUUUUCCUUAAAAUCUUGAUUUUUGACUUGUGUUUCAGGCAGCUAGAGUAUGUAGUUAAGGAAUUCUGUAAGGAAGAUUACAUGGGUGGAUAUCUGAAAAUCGUCUGUGGAGCCUUAAUAUGCAGCAAGUAAAAUUAUCCUUUUCCUUGUUUUAAAAAUUAUAAAAGUAAACUGGGCACAGUGGUGCCUGACUGUGGUCCCAAAUACUCUAGAGACUGAGGCAGGAUGGUCAUUUGAGACAAGGAGUUCAAGGCCAGCCUGGACAACCUAUCAGUCCCUGUCUCUAAAAAUAAAUAUGUAAAUAAGUAAGUAAAUAAAUAGAUAAAAGUAAUGUGAGUUCCUUGUGAUUCAAGCAUGACCAAAACAAAACCCCAAAGUCAAAACUCCAAAACCCAAGAGGUAAUAAUGAUAAAAGAUAAAUGAUAAUUCUUUAUAGAUCCAAAGAUAAGCACUGUUAACAAUUCAGUGUAUUGGGUGUGGUGGCGCAUACCUGUAAUUCCGGCGGCUUGGGAGGCUAAAGCAGGAGGGCUGUGAGUUCAAAGGCAGCCUCAGCAAUUUAGCAAGGCCCUGAGCAACUUAGUGAGACCCUGUCUCUAAGUAAAAAUAUAAACAAGGGCUGGGGAUGUGAUUUUUGACUUGUGUUUCAGGCAGCUAGAGUAUGUAGUUGAGGAAUUCUAUAAGGAAGAUUACAUGGGUGGAUAUCUGAAAAUCGUCCGUGGUUAAAUAUCCCUGGGUUUAAUCCCUGCAUGUAUUAUUAUUAUUACUCUAAAUGGGAUCACAUUCUAUAUUGUAUUUUAGUAAUUGCUUAUUUGAAGAAAUGAAUUCCUUUUCUACCCCCUCUUUGGGAAACAUUCUGUGUGUUUCCUCCUGGCUGCUGUGGGCAACUUGACCAGUUGGAUAUGGUGUCUUCACAUCUGAGAUGACAUGAGGCCUCCAACCCAGAAUAGCAAACUGGCAGUGGAAGAUAUUCUUUGAACACAACCUUCUUUCCCCCUUUAUUUCAUUUCUUUCUUUUUUUCUUUUCUUUUUAAUAUUUAUUUUUUAGUUGUAGUUGGACACAAUACCUUUAUUUUAUUUAUUUAUUUUUAUGUAGUGCUGAGGAUCAAACCCAGAGCCUCACUGAACCAGCCCUAUUUCCUUUCUUUUUAACUGACAUGUAAUAACUCUACAUAUUUAUGCUCACAACUUUUCACACCACAAAGGAUGCAUCCAGCCAGCAGCAGAAACAUUUUGGGGGCUGCAAAACUGCAGUCCCCUGGACAUUCAAUGGACUCAGAAGAGGCCAGUUUCGUCUCAUUUGCAUAUUCUUUUCCCUAUUCUCAAUCUGUGCACGAGUCUGUUCUUUACAUUCUCUAUUGAGCUGGUUAUAGCAGCUCAUCAGUAUUGAGUCCCUGUCAAUAAUGAAUUAAAUAAGAUCUUUAAUAUAUGUUCAUUUUAUAUUUCUUUGCAUGAGAGUUGUAAUUGACCUAUUAAAAACUUAUCCUUAACAAUCUUUCCUGAAAAGUUGAGAAAUAGUGGUUAUCACUAUAUAUGACAAUGUAGCAGGCAGGAUUUAAUGCUACUGAUGAACUGUAGAACUAAAAAAUGUAGAAAACAAUGUUAUUAGAACAUAUAAGGGGGUGGAGAUGUUGCUCUGUGAUUCAGCACUUGCCUACCAGAUACAGAAGUCCUGGGUUUGAUCCCCAGCACCAUCCAAAGGAAGAAAAAAAAAUAUCAAGUAAAUAUGUUUUGGAUAACUUGUCUAGUCUUUUUUCUUUCCCCUCAUGAAUGUUAAAUAUAGUGGUUUGGGAUUUUGUUGUUUUUGAAUUACUGAGGAUCAAAUCCAGAGCCUUGCACAUGCUAGGCAAGCACUCUACCUCUGAGCUAAGUCUCCAGUCCUUUUAAUUUCAUUUUGAGACAGGGGCUCCCUAAGUUACCCACACUGGCCUUGAACUUGUCAUCCUCCUGCCUCAGCCUCUUAGAUAUUUUUAUUAUAUUUUCCAAAAAUUAAAAAAAUAUGGUAAGAUUCUAACUUUGUUAGAAUCUCAGUGAGGCCAAAGUCUAAGCCUUUGUUUUACUGAAGGAUUAAUAAUUUUAUGACUAGCCAGGGGAAUUGGGGCAUUUGCAUAGCAUUGGGGUCAGAGGUUGGUUCUGCAGGGGAUUGAGGGAAUAGAUGUUGUUCACUAUGUUAGUGUCCCAGAAACUGUGCCAAGUCGUGUCUCAUUUAACCCUCACAGCAGUUCUGUGGAGCAGGCACUGUCAGUGUGGCCAUUUUGCAAAUGGGGAAAUUGAAGAGGUUGGGAAAUUUAAGAGAGUAAGUGACUUGCCCUACAAGGAUGUGGUGGAACAGGGGUAGAAACUCAGACUCUUAGGCCCCUUGCUACCUUAUGUCAAUGUGAAGGAAAUCCCGGGGUCCCCUUCUGAAAAAUCACCCCAACACUGGAUCAGAGCCCUCAGAAUCAAGUCAUCUGUGAAACAGUCAUGAAAUUCCUCUGCAUGCCAGGUCCUGAGGAUACCGCAAGGCUGAGACUUCAAGUUACUCAGGAACUGACAGGGAUGGGGUCACCAAGAGGAGGGCUCCUAUUGGAGCACAAAGGAGGUCCACUGGCAGUGGAGGGGAGGGCUAGGAGGUGCUUCCAAGAGGAGGAGACAGCAGACAUGAGUUUUAAAGGACAGGAAGAGCUAGCUUGGCAAAGGGGGUGGCAUUCACAGCAGAGUAGAGAGCUAAAUAAAGAAACACCAGAGCUGGGCAGGUGGCCCACACUUGUAAUCCCAGAGGCUUGGGAAGUUGAGGCAGGAGGAUCACAAGUUCAAAGCCAGCCUCAGCAACUUGGUAGGACCCUGUCUCAGAAUAAAAAGACAAACAAAACCUACAAGCUGGGGAUGUGACUCAGUGGUUAAGCACCCCCGGGUUCAAUCCCUGAUAUUAAAAAAAAAAAAAAAAGGAAACACCAGAGAUUUCUAGCAUUGUUAUUCCCUUAGCUCCAGUGUCUUGUCCUCACCCCCUGACCCUUAGUUCCCUUGCCCAUUACCAGAAGUCAUUUGGUUCAGUGGGAAGGUGGACACAGUAGAUUGCAGGGAUAGGCACCUGAGCACAGCAACCAAAGCCUACUUUUCCCCAGGAUAUUUGGAUUGGAACAGACUAUCUCCGGCUAAGGCCUAAUGGGGGAGGUGCAGGAGGAGGAGGCAGACCAGAGAGAGAAACAGGCUGCAGAGGUCUGAGCUAGGGCUCUCCAUGUCCCUGAAGUCCAUGCCAGGCCUUAACACACUCCCCACUUCCGUGAGAUGGUCCAAAUUGGGUUUCUGUCACUUGUAACCAAAGAUCCCCUCUGAUACCAUCCCUGAAUUGGUCAGACUCAAGAGGGGUCACUCAAGCUAACUUGGAGAGGCCGACCUAGAUCAGAAGACAAUGGUGUGUUUGCUGUGAGCAACGUGACGGCCCGUGGAGUUACCGUUUCACCAGACAUCGCUGGUGUUUCCUCUCCCGGGAGAAAAGCCACCUGGGUUGACAAAUGGCCUCCUGGAACCUGCCUGGCAAGCAGGCCCCAGUGCCAAUGGUGUUCUUUGCAGCUAGUGGCAUCAAGGUAGCUUUGCCUAAGGGUCCAAAAACUGUUUCUGCUAAGAGCCAGACAAUAAAUAUUUAGACUUUGCCAUCUCUGUCGCAAUAACACCCUGCAGCUGUAGUGCAAGAUGCCGCACCAGAUGUAAAUGAAGGAGCAGAGCUGGGUUCCAGAAAAACUGAAGUUUGAAUAUCAUGUAAUUUUCAUGUGUCUGAUACAUUAUUCUUCUUUUAAUGUUUUUCCAACCACUUAAGAAUAAAAAAGCCAUUCUUAGCCCUUAGACCAAGCCAAACCCCUGGUGAUGAACCAGACCUGGCCUGCAGCCUGGAGCUGACCGACUGCUGGCCUAGAGCACAAGCUGGAUGGAAGAUGGUUGUUAAGAAGGCUAGAGAAUUGGGUCUGCUGGCCAGGGACAUUUCAGGGGCCACUAUCUAGGCCUAUCACACUGGCGUUCUCUUCUCUGGUCAUUCAGACCCCCCUCUUCAGUCAACACCCUUCCUUACAUGAAGUUCAGGACACAUGAGUGGACUUAAGGGUUUGGAGAUAAUGACACUUCUAAUCCAGAUUUCCAAAAUUUAGCCUCUUUGGCCCACCUUGACACUUCUAAGGGCAGCUGUCCUGCCCCCAGCCCCUGCAAGAAGCAGAUCAUGUAAGCCCACCCAUCCCAGUCUACACAACCAGAGGCCAGGCAGGGCACAGACUGAUUGCAGUGUCUGACUCGAGGCCUGGCUUGAAAGCAAAGUCUAUCUUUCAAGAGGAGUCUUGAAACCCCAGCUAUUAAGGAGUCUGAGGCAGGAGGACUGCAAGUUGGGGGCCAGCCUGGGCAACUUAGGAAGCCCCUGUUUCAAAAUAGUUUGCUCAAGGGUAAAAAUUUUGCCUAGCCUAUGCAAGGUCCAGGUUUCCAUCCUCAGGGCUGCAAAAUUAAAAAAGACCUGAGGGAGGCGACAGGACUGGUCCCCCCUGGACCAGUUGCCAGGUGGUUAUGGAGGAAUCGAGAUUAUGAGUGAGAAAGAGGAUGGGUGAGAAAAGAUAACAGAGUGAGUGCCCCGGAUGGACAGGCAAACAGACUGGCUGAAUGAAAUACUGACACAGCAACCGAAUCCCAAAACUGUCCCACUUCUGGCUGAACUAGGGCUCUUUACUAGUCUUCAUACCUGACUCCUGGGGGAAAACUAGCCCUGACCACAGCAGGUCGUUUCUGCUUCUGCUUCUGCUGCAGGCGAGGCUGACUUUGCGCUGUGUCUUGUUUGACUUUAUCUCCCCGGAAGAUUUGCACUUCAUGUGAGGUGGGAACCUCACAGAGGCGUGGGCCUCACUUUCCCUAUGUCUUCAAUGGCCAUUCCUCAGCACGCCCCCUUUACCACACCAAUGCCGAGCUUUAUCAGACUCCCGUGCUGCAGAAAUGUAACCACGGUAAAGCCGCUCUUCACCCCUUUAAUUUCCCAGGAAAAGGUUAAGACAAAGGGCCAUCCUUUUCCAGGAAAGAUUGUCCGGGACAUUUUGCUUUCAGUUCCAGGCAUUGUAAACGUCUGUCAAAUGGGGCAUCCAUUUUCCCAGGUGCAGGCCUGGCUCACCCAUGCCCGGCUUCCCUUCGAGCAGGCUUCAGGUCUGGGCUGGGAACUCUUUUUUAAGAGACCUUGGCUUGGAGGAUGUGUGAGUGGCCGGCCAUACAGACCCUCAAACCCCGAAAGAGAAGACGAGUCCCGAGCGGGCAGCUGUAACUUUUGCACGUCGCCACCAGAGGGCAGCGGCCCCGCAGAGGAGGUUCCUGGCUUCUGCACCCUCGGGCUCCCGCGGAGGCUUUAAAACGCGCGUUGGCUCUGGACGCCGCGCUGCGUGCUUUUCCGCCCUGCGGUGCGGUCCCCUCUCCGCACCCGGAAUAGCCUGGGCCCCUACAUUUAAGCUCCCGCAACAGGAAAUCCUCCCCCACCCCAGAAGCUCGUCACAAAAUGUGGGCAGGAGGGACUUUCAAAUGCUAGCCUCCAGCCUCCGGGCCUCUAGUGCUUGUCUGGUGAUGAGGUCCCUUACCCUCUCGCGGCCCUCAGGCCCCUGUUCUCUGCUCCAGGCAGCUCUAAGGAUUCCUGAAGCUCCGGGGAAAUAGGGAGGAGGGGCGGGAGGAGGAGCUCCUUGAAACACCAGUGUCAGUGUCCCCUUAAAGUGAGCAGGACAGGAACUGUUAACGAGUUGCAAGAUGGGGAGACAGGCAGGCCACCAAAGAGAAAGGUAACUAGCCUUUGCAAUUAGAACAGGAACUUUUUUCUCCUAGCCCCAAAUCUGGAGCCCUGGGGUAGACGCGGCCGUGGGCGAUGGCUCACCGCUUGGCCAAACCCAGCGGUCACUGGAGCCGAAAGGGGCCCUGGACAUCCUCUCCCCUUAGGACAGCGACCUGAAUGCCAAAGUGCAGCCACUGAAAGCAUUCAAAUUGUAGAGUUUUAUGUACCGACAUGAAAAUAUGAUUAAUUUGCUUUUUUUUGGGGGGGGGGUAUAGGGCAUUGAAUCCAGGGGCGCUCUAUCACUGAACUCUAUCCCCACCCCACCCCCUUUUUUCUUUUUAUUUUGAGACAGGAUCUCGAUACAUUGCUCAGGUUGGCGACAAACUUGCAAUCUUCCUUCCUCAGCGUCCCAAAUAGCUGGGGUUACAGGCGGACAUCACCAAAGCCCACUGCAUAUGUGUGUGUGUGUGUGUGUGUGUGUGUGUGUCUGUCUGUAUUUAGUACUGGGGAUUUCACUGCGGGACUCUUAACCACUGAGCCACAUCCCCAUCCCAUGUUUGUUGUUGUUUUUAAAUUUUUAUUUUGAGACAGUCUCAGCAAGUAGCUCAGGGUCUUGUUAAAUUACUGAGGCUGGCUUUGAACUCACUGUCCUCCUGCCUCAGCCUCCUGAGCUUCUGGGAACAUUUGCUUUUUAAAGUAUCUGUAUCUACACACACAUUUUAACAGGGAACAUAAGUACAAAAGCCAAACUGUUCACAGUGGCUGUCUCUGGUAGUCGGAUUAAGGGUAUGGGGGGGAAGAGGAUUUUCAUUUUCUUCAUAUUGUUCAAAUUUUUCAUUGCUAGCAUAUAUAAACUAAAAGGAGGAGCAAUUCAGGACUUUUGCAGGAAGAAAACAAAGGCAAAAAGCAAAACAGAAAACUACCUCAUUAAAGAUUUGAAAAAUACAAAGAGGAUGAAGAAAAUAAAAUUCAUUCCUACUGCCUUCCCAUCCCCAUAGGUAUUGAUGUUUUUCUUUCUUUGCAAAAUGAAAAUAAGGUGUUAACUGAACAGGAAUGUUGUGAGGAUUGAAUGAGAGACUGUAUAUAAUAGCAUAAUAGCUAACAUUCCAGAAGUGCUAUUGAAACAAAAUCAACACUGUAUUGAACAUAUCGUUUAUAUGCUGCUGUUUUCACUUAUAAUAGCUUUCCACAUCAACUAUUCUUCCAAAAUUAUGUUUUUAGUGAUUGCACAAUAUUUCAUUACAUUUAAGGACAAUUUAUUUAAGUUAUCCCCUACUGUCUAACGUUUAGAUUGUUUCCAGUUUUGCUGUUAAAAUAACAGUGAGAUUAACAUCUUUAAACAUCUAUCCUUGUCAGCAUUUCUGAUUAUUUCCUUAGGUGGAUUUUUAGAGGUAGGAUUACUGGGACAAAGGGUGCAAAUAUUUUUCAGGCUUUUGAUUCAGGUUACCAAAUUGCUUCCCAGAAAGAUAUUGCCAAUUUACACUCCCACCUGCAGUGCGUGAGAAUGCCUGGCCCACAGCACACAAAGAAGGGAUUUUUUGGGGAUGGGUGAGAUUUGAAUAUAUUAGUAGAUGGAGGAGAAGGAGGCCUGUGGAGAGGAAGAGUUUAAAUUUCAGGAGAGAGAGGGGAUAUGUAAGAGGCAAAGCCCACAGGAGAAAGGGAGGGGGGUUUGGAGCAGGUUUAGAGAGUGCCUUGGAUCUGAGAAGUGACAGCCUGUUUUCUGAGACUUCUGGAAAGAGGUCUGAUUGGGUGUGGUUAUAGUCAAAGCUUAUAAAAGUAGUUAGGAGAGAUAGAAAGGUCAGUGCCUAGUGGUCCCCUUUUCUCAAUAAAGUAGCAAGAUGGAUCACCUUUUCAGAACUAAAAGGUUCUGGUAAGGAGGGGACUUGAGGGUAGAGGGACCCUUUUACUUGAGAAUAAAAGUUUUGGCAAUCCAGUUCAGGUGAACCACCUUGGGUUUACCAGAGCAUCAUUCUGGAGGGAUGUGGGUACUUUGAACAUGAAGCCACCUGGGGAAAGAAAAAGUUGCACAUUUGUCAGUUUAAACCAAAUCUUUCAAAACACGUGGUAAGCAGCAAAAAACAACAGCACCAGGGAGAUUCACAGCAUGAAAGUUUGUGAACUUCUGGAGUCUUACCAAACUUUCAGGGAACAGUUAAUUCCUAUCUCAUAUAACUUGUUCCAGAAAAUCAGAACAAAAGCUGCCCAGAUUGUUUUGUAAAACCAAUGUAAUCUUGAUUCCAAAAUCAGUAAGACAAAGCAACAAACGAAAAGAUGAAGGUCAUUUCACCCAUGAAAGUAGGCAUAGAAAUCCUAAACAAAUUAUCAGCUAAGGAAUUCACUUAUUUGAAAAUUGACUAGGCAGACAGUCUACGACUGAGCCACAUCCCCAUCCCCUCCACUUAGAUGUUUCUAAAAAUACACUAUCAAGUAGGGUUUAUUCCAUGAAUUCCAUAUUGACCCAACACUGGAAAAAUUAUAUGACUAUCUCAAAUGAUGAAAAAGCAGUUGAUAAAGUUCCUUAGCUAUUUAUGGUUAAAAAUCGCUUAGAAAACUAUAAGUAGGAGAGGUAUCCUUAACUUGGUAAAGAUUACAGAGCAGAAACUUAAAGCAAACGUUUCCUUAAUGAAGAAACUUUGUGUGUAUGUGUGGGUGUAUACACACAGACACACAGACACACACACACACACACACACACACACAUAUAUAUAUAUAUAUAUAUAUAUAUAUAUAUAUACAUACACACACACAUAUACAUACACACACACAUAUGUUUUUUUCUUUUUCUUUUUCUUUUAUUUUUGUACUGGGGAUUGAUCCAAAGACACCACUGAGCAACAUCCUGAGCCCUUUUUAUUUUUUUAUUUUGAGACAGGGUACUGCUAGGUUGCUCAGGUUGCUGAGGCUAGCUUUGAACUUGCAAUCCUCCUGCUUCAGUCUCCCAAGUUACUGGAAUUAUAGGUGUGAGUCACCACACCCAGCUAUAUGUAUUUUUUAAUAUUUAUUUAUUUAUUUAUUUAGGAGAGAUUGAACCCAGGGGCACACUGAGCCACAUCUCCAGCACCCCGAGUUUUUCUGUGGUGCUGGGGAUUGAACCCAGGGUUUUGUGCAUGUGAGGCAAACACUCUACCAACUGAACAAUAUCCCCAGCCCCUCCCAGCCCUUUUAAUAUUUUAUUUUGAGACAGGUCUCGAUUAAUUGUUUAGGGCCUUGCUUGGUUGCUGAGGCUGGCCUUGAACUUGCAAUCCUCCUGCUUUAGCCUCCCAAGCUGCUGGGUGGUUUUUUUGUUUUUUUUUUUUUUAAAGAUGUGGAACAAAAUAAGGACUCCAGCUAUACUGACUGCUACAAUUUAACAUAAAAUAAUGGAAAUUUUAGACAAAGUGAUAGGGAAGGAAAAAUAAGAGAUUAGGAUUAGAAUAGAUGAAUUACCAGUGAAUAAAGUUGAUAUUUUCAUUUGCUUUGAAAAACAAAGAGAAUCAACAGAUAUUUUGUGAAAACUAAUUAAGAGAAUUCACUAAAUAUGAGAUAAAUCGAAAAAAAUGAUAACAUUUUUCUUCAUCAGUAAUAACUAGCUUUUACUUAUCAUAGCCACACACACAAAAAGUAAAACAUCUAGUAGUAAAGUUAAUCAAGUUAAUCAAGAAUAUUCAAGAGGAGCCAGGUGCAGUGGCACAUACCUGUAAUCCCAGCAACUCUGGAGGCAAGGAGGAUCAUAAAUUCAAGGCUAGCCUUAGCAAUUUAGCAAGGCCCUCAGCAACUUAGUGAAACCCUGUCUUAAAAUUAAAAAAAAAUAAAAAUAAAAAGAGCUGGGGAUGUGGUUCAUUGGUAAAAUGCCCCGGGUUUCAAUCCCCAGUACCAAAAAUAAAGAAAUAAAUAUUUUAAAAAUAAAAUUUAUAUGAACACACACAACCAAAUAAACCUUUAAAAAUAAGAGUAAAGAGCAAGAAUUUGUCCUACUAGAUAUUAAGCCCGUUAAAAAACUCUGUAAAAGACAAACAUAGUAAAACAUUGUUUUGGCACAAAACAGAGUAUUAGACCACAGAAUGGAAUAGGAAACUCAAAGUCAGACCAUGAGUUUAUGGGCCGGAGGCAUCACAAAUCAAUGAAGAAGGGACAAAUUAAACCAGUUUCCUAGAUGGAAAAAAAUAAAACAGGGUCCCAGUGUUGCACCAAAUAAAAAGGUAUUCUCUAAAUGAUGCAAGUGUGAAAAUAAAACUCUAAAGUUUUAUUUAUUUUCUUACACCCUGGCCCUGUUGAUUUUUUUUUUUUUAAGAAAAUAUGAGAGAAUGUUUUGGAACCAGUUGAGAAAGCACCUCCCACUGCCCUGUUUUUCUUCAAUCAAGGACCACCAAUAAUCUUUAUUAUAAUAUUAAAAAUCAAAUUCUAGCCACUGUUGACCACUCAUACAUACUCUUUUGACUAGAAAUUUUAAUCAGAUAUAACAUGAUACCAGUAUUUUUAUUUUUCCAGAUAAUGAAGAAUUACACAUGGUAUCUCUGGGACUUUUUUUUUUUGGUACUGAGGAUGUAACUUAGGAUGCUUUACCACUGAGCCACAUCCCCAGCCCCUUUUUAAGUCUUAUUUUGAGACAGGGUCUCACUAAGUUGCUUAGGACUUUGCUAAAUUGCCAAGGCUUGCCUCAAAUUUACAAUCUUCCUGCUUCAGUCUCCCAAGUUGCUGGGAUUUUGGGCGUGAGCCACUGCAUCCAACUCUCUCUGGGAAUUUUUCUAUAAAACACAUGUUUCUUUUUUCCUAUGUCAAAUUGACUAUUAAACUAACUAUUAAACUAACACAUGAAUAUCUGCUUAGAGAAAGUAUAAAUUUUGGUUAUACAGUAACAAAUGUGAAAUAAAAUUGUAAUGUUAUUUGCUAUGCUUUACGACACUGUCCAUUUUCAGGAGAGUCACAAGUUCUACACACACAGGCUACAUAUACACAUAUAAUCUAUACAGUCUAUAGAUGUUGCACCUUUAUAUAAAAUGACCAGAAAUAUAUGCAAAAAUGCUCAAGAAUGAUCAGGAAAUAAAUAUUUGCUGAACCCCACUUAUAAAAAAAAUUCUUAAACACCGUAGGGGAUACUAUGCAUAAAAUUAUCUACUCUUCAGAAUCAGAAAAAUGAAGCCCUCGCUGCUCUCUGCAGAGCUGCAUUUCAAAGAUCCAUUAGGUUUUCCAUGUGCUAUUUCUAAAAGACGGGAUUUUCAAAUCAUUCUGUUAAACUGGAGCCACAGGUGGACACUCAAAACAUAUUGGACGCCUCUAGAAGGAACUUCCCCAAGAACCAGUACUAGGUUAGGAAAACCUGAACUAUAAUUGAUAAAUCACUAGAUGCUCAGUGGGGACAAGUCUGACAAUUAAAAACUGCUGGGAGUGGGGGACCUGGGGGUAUAGCUCAGUGGCAGAGCAUUUACCUAGUGUGUGCAAGAAUUCAUUCCCAGCACCAGGAAAAAAAAAAAGAAGAAGAAACAAAGAAAAGAAAAAGAAAACCCAGCGGAAGCCCAGUCUUAGGGGGAAUAUUCGCUUUUCUGAGUGUUACCUCUAGGAGCUCCAUGAGAUGCUUACUGAGAAUAUCAGGGAACAAUUGUUUCAUGUUUUUGGCAAGGGUGGCAGUGCACAUCUGUAAUCCCUGUGACUCAGGGGGCUGAGGCAGGAGGAUCACAAAUUCGAAGUAAGCCUCAUCAAUUUAGCAAGACCCUGUCUCAAAAUAUAAAAUGAAAAGGACUGGGAAUGUAGCUCGGUGGUAAAGCUCUCCUCUGUUCAACCCCAGGCCGGAGUGCCGGGGGAGCCAGAAAGCCAGAGCAUGCUGAUUUUCCUAAGGCCUACCCUCAGGAGAAACAAUUUUACCAGAACCUGAGCUGCUUGGAUUUUAUCACAGUCUAAUGUACCUGGGGGAAAGGAAGUAUCCAAUUCCAAUUCCCUCCAGUUCUUCUUUUCCAGCUAAAAUGAAAAAAUGGAGAAACAGUUUCAAAGUUCACUGCCCGGGACACAAACUCAAUAAAAGACUGAGGCCUCGUUAUAGGACUAUGGAAGAAUGCUUAUCUUUCCACCAGACUUACAUUAAUAAAGGUCUGUUUAUUACAGUUCCUCUUAACCAGACCAUCAUGUCUGGCUUUCAACAACACCACAAAUUACAAAGCAUACUAACAGGCAAAAAACAAUAUGAAGAGACAGAGUGAGCACCAGAAACAAACUUAGAUAUGGCAAGGACGUUCAGAUUAUCCUAAAACAGCAUGAUUAGCCAGGUGCAGUGGUGCACACCUGUAAUCCCAGCUGCUCAGGAGGCCAAGGCAGGAGGAUCACAAAUUCAAGGGCAGCUUGAGCAAGUCAGCAAAAAAUAAGAAGAUCUGGGAAUAUAGCUUGGUGGUGAAACACCCCUGGGUUCAAUCCCCAGUACCAAAUAGACAAAAGCAACACAAACAAACAAAAAACUCAGCAUUAUAAUUCAAAAAACUGUAAUAACAUUGAUUUUUUUUUAAAACCACAUUUUAAAAUAAGUGUGACAAUUCAAAACAACCAAGAUUAACAUACAUGCUAAGAGCUUUAAACAUUCAAGAACAGAUGGGUAGUAUUAAACACAGAGAUGGAAAUUCUAAGAAAGAAUCAAAAAGAAAUGCUAGAAAUAAAAAACACUGGGCUGGGGAUGUGGCUCAAGCGGUAGCACGCUCUCCUGGCAUGUGCAAGGCGCUGGGUUCAAUUCUCAGCACCACAUAAAAAUAAAGAUGUUGUAUCCACCGAAAACUAAAAAAUAAAUAUUAAAAAAUUCUCUCUCUCUCUCUCAAAAAAAAAAAAAACACUGAUGAAACUAAAUAUAUCUUUAAUGGGCCCAUUGCUAGACUGGAAAUGACUGAGGAAAGACUCUCUGAGCUGGAAAAUACAAUAGAAACUUCCUUCAGCUUUUCUUUAAUUCAUGUUUUAGGUGUGAUAUUAUAUUGUGUUAGCUAAUAUUCAUGUGAACUUGAGCAACAAUUUAUGUAGGCUUUGUAAAAUNUGAAAGAAGUAAGCCAGAUUUCAGUACAGUUAAAGUUGUGUCCAAAAGUAGGUUUUUGCCAAGAUUACUAGGAUCUCAAACAGGGAAUUAUGAUGUAUAACCCUGCCAGAAUUCAAGGUAGCUAUUAUAUAAGCUAAAUAUGCUUUUACCCUAGUUAGUUUUGUUUUGUAGUUUGCUUAUAGAUGGUUUAAGGAUUGCCUGUUAAUGUUUUAAAGAGGUAUUGCUUUAAGAACACAACCUGGGUCAACAUAAGAUAAGGAGUUAUCACCUACAGGAUAGAGAGAUAGACAUUAAAGCCCAGUGCUCUUAAUAUAAGGCUGUUAACUUAUUUGCUGGAUGUUUAAGAUUAAGUUUUAAAAUUAAAGUUAAAUUAAAAGGGCCAAGAAAACCAAUAUUUGGCUCUUGCCCUCUGAGUCAGUCUGAAUCAGGGAAUAGGGGACUUCUCCAAAGAGCUUUGCAACUCUGGGCCACAUAACCUCCUGAUCAGGGAGAUUAAUGAGACCAGUGGAGGACAGAAAGCCAAUCAGUGUAUUUGCUGUGAAGAGGAGGGUCAUCAGAAAAGGGAGACAUCCCUGAUGCUUCCAAGGGAAGCCACAUGGUCAAGCAAGGCCUGAACCCAUCAUAGCGCAAAUGGCACUAGCAGCGCAAAUGGCACUAGCAGAACUGAGAAGCUGCUGUAAGUUCCCCGAGGACUCCCAGGGAAACUCAGCUGACUGUUAACAAUAGAUAGAAACAAAAGUCAGUUUGACUUGCUUCAUCUUAAACACUUAGCAAAGACAGUCAAAGCCAAAACACAGCUAUUCCUGGGCAUUUUAAAUGAUAAUAAUAGUAAACUGGAGGCUGCAAAAGAGAUUCUCAGACAGGAAUGCCUGAUAACUAUCAAAAGGAACUGCCAGAGUAGUUUAACACAGGUAGGCUUAGUGUUUGCUAGUAUGGUUAUCCAGCCCUAAGUAACAGAAUUAAAGAUUUCUCUAUUAGACACAGAGGUCAUACUAGUAAAAGGAUUUUGCAAGAUCAGAUGACAUUAAAUUAUUAAACUAUAUCUUAAGGGAAAGAACGUCUGUAACCCUAAAAGUUAAAUGUUGUGUUUACAUCCCUGACAUUUCUGGCAAUGUGACAAAUGUCCUUAAAGAUUUACAUGCUCAGAUAGAAGCCAUGUCCUCAGCAACUUUGUCAUGGAAACAAUAUCUUAGCUCCUAGUUCUUGGUACUUCCUGGUGGAAAACAUUGUUAGUCUUUGUCUUUGCCAUCAUACUCAUUGGCAUAUUCCUGUGCUAUGGCAUUUAUUGCUGCAUCAAUAUGGUUCCAGUACUAAUGAAUUCUUGUUUCUCUUAUAGACCAUCCAUCAUUCAAAUGGCCCUCCAGACUAUUACUUCUCAAUCAGACUUCUAUCAUGGACCACUCGAUAGACCCGAUUUUUAAAGGGGGACUCCAAACUGCUUUCCCCACAUCGUCCCUUUUCAGCCUGAAGAAGCCAGAAAGAUCUUCUUCGCCCCCCUUCCUUACAGCAGUAAGGAGUUCCCAACUUAGAGGGGGGGAAUGAAGCCAGAUUUAAAGUUAGGUAGUCAGUGUAGUUAGGUAAAUCAGGUCUAAUAUCGAGUGAAAUCUAAAAUGGAGACCAUGCGGAGAAUGACUCUGGGAAAACACAGGACAACUCAUGGAAUGUUAAUGAAGUCCCCGAAAAGGCCCUAGGCCAAAGUCCACCUCAAAGAAAUGUUAAUGAACAGCCCCCAGCAAAAAGGUGCUGACUCAGAAGUCCUUCCUGACCAGAUUACUUCUUUGGCCCACCUGUGUCCCACCCCUGGGGCCUUACCACCUACAUUCCAUCACUGAAAGAACUAUAAAAAGGGGAGACAACAUCCCUUCCACGGAUUCCACCUCUUGGGUCCCCUUCUUCCUCCGGGAGAAGUCUUUUCUGCUGUCCUUUAAUAAACUUCUAAUAAACUUCUAAUUUCUACUCUGAAAAAAAAAAAAAAGAAAGAAAGAAACUUCCCAAACUGACAAGCAAAGAGGAAAAAAAUCCUGGAAAAUCAAACCAAAACAACAAAACAAGCUAUACAAUAACUAUGGGGCAACUACAAAUAGUGUAAUGAGUAAUGGGAAUAUCAGAGGGAGAAUUAAAGAAAGAGCAAGAAAAUACUUGAAGUAAUAAUGACUUAGAAUUUUCCCCAAAAUUAAUGCCAAAAAGAAGCUCAGAGAAUACUAAGCAGGAUAAAUGCAACAACAACAACAACAACAAAAAAAAAAAAUGCCCGGGGAUUAAGAAAAAGUUUGGACUGGGUAUAGUGGCAUGUAUCUGUUGUCCCAGCUACUUGAGAGGCUGAAGUGGGAGGAUCACUUGAGCCAGGAAUUUGAGACCUGAGCAAUAUAGUGAGACCCUAUUUAGAAGAAGGAGGAGAAGAAGGAGUAGAUGAAGAAGAGGAGGAGUAAAAGGGGAAGUAGAGGAGGAGAAGGGGGAGAGAGAGGAGGAGGAGGAGGAAGAAGAAAGAAAUUUCAAAGAAGUUGGAGGAAUAAGAAUUACAUCCAUUUUUUUUAGAAACCAUUCAAGAAAGAAGAGAGUGGCGUGAAAUAAAGUGCUAUGAGAGAGAGAGAGAGAGAGAGAGAGAGAGAGAGAGAGAGAGAAAAUUCUUAUAACUCAGAAUUCUGUAAACCAGUGAAAUUAUCCUUUGAAAGUGAAUAAGAAAUAUUUUACCAAACAAAUAUUGCAGGGACUUUGCUGCCAGGAUACCUGCCUUAGGAGAAAUGUGAAAAGUUCUUCAGAGAGAAGGAAUGUGGUAUUAGUCAGAAACUUGGACCUACAUAAAGAAAGGAAGAGCAUUAAAUAAGGAAUAAGCAAAGGUAAAAUGAAAGCUUCUUUAAAAAAAAAUUGAUGGAUGAACCAGAUGGCAUUUUAUUCAAAAUAAUAAUAUUGACCUAUUUAUUAUCAUCGCUAUGUAUAAGUGAAAUAAAUGACAGCAAUACUACGAGAGACAAAAAGAAGACUUAGGAACAUGUGGCUAUUGUAAAGCACUUGCAGUGUCUGUGAAGCAGGAGAGUGUUAUUUGAAAGUGGACUUGAAUUAGUAGUUAAAUAUAUAGCCCACAUUCCAGGGCAAUUUAAAGCAAUGUUUUUUUUUUUAAAGUAUUGUUGAUAUAAAAAAGGAAAGAAAAUGGAAUCAUACAAAAUAUUCAAUGAAAACCACAAAAGGCAGAAAAAGUGGAAGACAAAACUAGGAAUAAAGAACAAUGGCAACAAAUAGACAAUAAUAAUAAAUAGGCUAAAUAUUAAUUCAGUUAUUUCAAUAAUUACUCUAAAUGUUAGUAAUCUAAAUGCACCAACGAAAAGACUGAGAUUGUCAGAAUGAAUCAAAAAACAAGACCCAGGGGCUAGGGAUGUGACUCAGUGGUAUAAUGUUUGCCUGGCAUGCAUGAGGCCCUGGGCUUGAUCCCUGCCACUUAAAAAAAAAAAAGAUUAUAUGGACACAUAUAGAUUAAAAAUAAAGGAAUGAAGAAAGAUACGCCAUGCUGAAAGAUAUACCAUGCUAACGUUAAUCAAAAGAAAGUUGGAGUGGUAGAACACUUGCUUAGCACAUACAAUGUCCUGAGUUCUAUCCCCAGAGAUGGGGAUAGGGGUGGAGUGUGGGAGGGGGGUGGAGAAUGAGGAGGAGGAGGAGGAGGAGGAGGAGGAGGAGAAGGAGGAGGAAGAGCAAGGCUGGAGUAGGAGUAUCAGGGAGGAGUAGCUGUAUUAAUUUCAGACAAAGGAGGCUUCAGGGAAAGAAAAUUUAUCAGUUAUAAAAGGCACAUUACUAAAAAAUAAAUUUAAAAAGUGGACAUCAUUACAUGAUGAUGAAGGGGUCAUUUCUCCAAGAUGACAUAACAAUCUUUAAUGUGUAUGUCCCCAACAACAGAGUAUCGAAAUACGUGAGGCAGAAACUGAAAGAAAUAUAAGGAGAUAUAGAUGAAUCCACUACUAUAGUUGGAGACUUCAACUUCCUCUGUCAGAAAUAGAUCCAGCAGGCAGAAAAUCAGUAAGGACAUAGCUGAAUUCAACAGCACCAUCAAUCAAGUAGACAUCUAAAGACUACUUUAUCCAACAAUAGCAUAAUAGUUUCACUCAAACUCACAUGGACCAUUCACCAAAAUAGACCACAUUCUGGGCCAUAAAAUACACCUAAAACAUUUCAAAGAAUAUAAACCACAGUGUCUGCUUUCAGACCACAACGGAAUUGAAAGAUAGCUGGAAAAUCCACAAGGACUUAGAGAUUAAACAACCCACUUGUAAAUAAAACAUGAGUUAAAAGAAGAAAUUUCAAGAGUAAUUAGAAAAUGUUUGAAACUAAGGGCUGGGGAUGUAGUUCAGUGGCAGAGUAUUCAUAUAGCCUGUGCAAGACUGAGGUUCAAUCCCCAGGAGGCAAAAAAGAAAGUAAGAAAAAGAAAA
rnacentral:lncRNA from 1 species